CCCUGCAUAUUCCUUUCCCAUGAUAGUACCAGCUGAAUGAAAACUAACACAUUCCUUUCCCAUGAUAAUACCAGCUGAUUGAAACCCUGCACAUUCCUUUUCUGUGAUAAUACCAGCUAAAUGAAACCUCGCACAUUCCUUUCCCAUGAUAAUACCAGCUGAUUGAAACCCAGCACAUUCCUUUCCCAUGAUAAUACCAGCUAAAUGAAACCUCGCACAUUCCUUUCCCAUGAUAAUACCAGCUGAUUGAAACCCUGCACAUUCCUUUCCCAUGAUAAUACCAGCUAAAUGAAACCUCACACAUCUGUUUCCCAUGAUAAUACCAACUGAUUAAAACCCUGCACAUUCUUUUCACAUGAUAAUACCAGCUGAAUGAAACCUCACACAUUCCUUUCCCAUGAUAAUACCAACAAAUUGAAACCCUGCACAUUUCUUUCUCAUGAUAAUACCAGCUGAAUGUAACCUAACGCAUUACUUUCCCAUGAUAAUACCAACAAAUUGAAACCCUGCACAUUUCUUUCCCUUGAUAAUACCAGCUGGAUGAAACCUCAUACAUUCCUUUUCCAUGAUAAUACCAACUGAUUGAAACCCUGCACAUUUCUUUCCCAUGAUAAUAUCAGCUGAAUGAAACCUCACACAUUCCUUUCCCAUGAUAAUACCAACUGAUUGAAACCCUGCAUAUUCCUUUCCUAUGGUAAUACCAGGUUAGAAGACUAAGAUCUAUUGCCUUGGAAGCUUUUAAAGUCAUAAAAAACAAGGCCCAUUAUACUUGCAUUAAAAACAGUUAUUACUCUUUUAGGUAUACAAAUACAGCAGACAUUCCAAGGGUAAGAAUCUCUGGCUUUGGCAGCAGCUCUUUUUGUUUCAUGGCAGCCAAACUUUGGAGCGCUGUCCCACGAAACCAAUUUUAACCAGUUCAAAAGUUUGAUCAAUGCCUGCAGCAGAGAGAGCUGCACAUGCACUGCCUGUUCUAGCUACUGAUUUGGUGCUUUAUGUUAUGCUUGUUUAAAAAUUUUAUGCUUGGCUGCUUUAUGCGCUGAUGCUUUCUUUUAUAUGUGCUUAUUUCAUAAUAAUGCUUGUUUCUUUUGUUCUUGUUUUAUAUGUGCAUGUAUGUGUAAAUGCAUUGCUUUCAUAUGUGCUUUUGUAUUGCUUGAAGGUAGCUGCUUCCAGAAAUUAUCUUUUAUUUUAUGUCUUUUUAUGUUCCUUUAACGUGUUGUCAUAUUUUAUGCAGGUUAAUUUAUUCAUGUCUUAACCAGUGUUUUGGUUGCUUUCUGGUUUCGUUGUUAUUUAUAACUUCAGGUUUAAUUUUGAUGAAUGUGAGCAUGUAAUAGUGCAGUUGUGUCUAACAGUCAGCUUGAAUUAACUACAUGUACUCCCAAUUAAGAAGUGGCUAUGUAAAGGACAUUGAUAUAAAGACAUUGCUGGAGAUAUUUACUGGUGGCAGCUUCAGACCAACAGAAGUGUUUGGGGUAGCAGUAUUUACAACUAUUGACCUGGAAACCACUGACCUAAAUUUGUUGAUGCGAUCUAUAAGAAAGGAUACCACUGUCAGUAUGGAGGGAAAUGGACUUGAUGCUUAGGAGGAUGUGGAGAUGUCAGAUUCCUCAUCACCUCCAAGUCACCAUGACAACAAACAGCAACAUGAAAGGGGUGACAGUAUGGUUGAAAGUGACUGAAAAAAGCAUAUUGCAAAUCAAGGUUGGUCCUUCCUUU